GAUGAACGCUGGCGGCGUGCCUAAUACAUGCAAGUCGAGCGAACAGACGAGGAGCUUGCUCCUCUGACGUUAGCGGCGGACGGGUGAGUAACACGUGGAUAACCUACCUAUAAGACUGGGAUAACUUCGGGAAACCGGAGCUAAUACCGGAUAAUAUUUUGAACCGCAUGGUUCAAAAGUGAAAGACGGUUUUGCUGUCACUUAUAGAUGGAUCCGCGCCGCAUUAGCUAGUUGGUAAGGUAACGGCUUACCAAGGCGACGAUGCAUAGCCGACCUGAGAGGGUGAUCGGCCACACUGGAACUGAGACACGGUCCAGACUCCUACGGGAGGCAGCAGUAGGGAAUCUUCCGCAAUGGGCGAAAGCCUGACGGAGCAACGCCGCGUGAGUGAUGAAGGUCUUCGGAUCGUAAAACUCUGUUAUUAGGGAAGAACAAAUGUGUAAGUAACUAUGCACGUCUUGACGGUACCUAAUCAGAAAGCCACGGCUAACUACGUG
rnacentral:rRNA from 1 species